AUGUCAGGGCAUGGAUGCCACCUUGUCGUGGUGACAUCCCAAGGUUGCCUUGGUGCACGGAAGGCCUCAGGGUCAGAGCAGCUCUUGGGCUUGCUCAGUGCAGGAGCAUCCUCCUGCUUGAGGCGUUUGUCAGUGGGCAGCUGCACACUGACAGGAGCCUUGUUUGUUUUUGUGGUGGAGCAGAGUGUGCAAACUGGCACAGCAGUGCUACAGUGAUGGAGCAGCUCGCUGUUGCAGUUUGCACCAUUUAUGGCAUUGGCUAUGCCGGCUAUUACCUCACCAACCUGGCACGUCAUCUGAGCCGUGUGUUCAGAGGUGCCGAUCCUGAGAGCCCAGAAGCAAGAGCAGACUCUGCUGUGGCUCCCUCUGCUCCUGGA